GACAGAGGGUGCAAACGUUGUUCGGAAUUACUGGGCGUAAAGCGCGUGUAGGCGGCCCUGCAAGUCGGGUGUGAAAUCCCACGGCUCAACCGUGGAAGUGCACUCGAAACUGCAGGGCUAGAGUCCUGGAGAGGAAGGUGGAAUGCUUGGUGUAGAGGUGAAAUGCGCAGAUAUCAGGAAGAACACCAAUGGCGAAAGCAGCUCUCUGGGACGGUACUGACGCUGAGACGCGAAAGCGUGGGGAGCGAACAGG
rnacentral:rRNA from 1 species